rnacentral:rRNA from 1 species
CCUACGGUGUGCUGCAGUAGGGAAUAUUGCUCAAUGGGGGAAACCCUGAAGCAGCAACGCCGCGUGGAGGAUGACGGUUUUCGGAUUGGAAACUCCUUUUGUUAGAGAAGAUAAUGACGGUAUCUAACUAUUACUCACCGGCUAACUCCGUGCCAGCAGCCGCAGUAAUACGGAGGGUGCAAGCGUUACUCGGAGUCACUGGGCGUAAAGAGCGCGUAGGCGGGAUAGCAAGUCAGAUGUGAAAUCCUAUGGCUUAACCAUAGAACUGCAUUUGAAACUGUUAGUCUAGAGAAUGGGAGAGGUAGGUGGAAUUCUUGGUGUAGGGGUAAAAUCCGUAGAGAUCAAGAAGAAUACUCAUUGCGAAGGCGACCUGCUAGAACAUAACUGACGCUGAUGCGCGAAAGCGUGGGGAGCAAACAGGAUUAGAUACCCCUGUAGUC